rnacentral:rRNA from 1 species
GACGAACGCUGGCGGCGCGCUUAACACAUGCAAGUCGAGCGGUAAGGCUCCUUCGGGAGUACACGAGCGGCGAACGGGUGAGUAACACGUGAGUAAUCUGCCCUUCACUUCGGGAUAACCACCGGAAACGGUGGCUAAUACCGAAUACGACCAGUCUUCGCAUGAGGUGCUGGUGGAAAGUCUUUUCGGUGAAGGAUGUGCUCGCGGCCCAUCAGCUUGUUGGUGGGGUAAUGGCCUACCAAGGCUUCGACGGGUAGCCGGCCUGAGAGGGUGACCGGCCACACUGGGACUGAGACACGGCCCAGACUCCUACGGGAGGCAGCAGUGGGGAAUAUUGGACAAUGGGCGAAAGCCUGAUCCAGCAACGCCGCGUGAGGGAUGACGGCCUUCGGGUUGUAAACCUCUUUCAGUACCGACGAAGCGCCCUGUCGGGUGGUGACGGUAGGUACAGAAGAAGGACCGGCCAACUACGUG